CGCAGCCGCGGUAAUUCCAGCUCCAAUAGCGUAUAUUAAAGUUGUUGCAGUUAAAAAGCUCGUAGUUGAAUUUCGGGGUUAGUAGGUUGGUCGUGCCACUGGUAUGCACUGGUCUUACUGAUUCCUCCUUCCUGAUGAACCGUAAUGCCAUUAAUUUGGUGUUGCGGGGAGACUGGACUGUUACUUUGAAAAAUUAGAGUGUUUAAAGCAAGCUAACGCUUGAAUACAUUAGCAUGGAAUAAUGAAAUAGGACGAUUGAUCCUAUUUUGUUGGUUUCUAGGAUUGACGUAAUGAUUAAUAGGGAUAGUUGGGGGCAUUAGUAUUCAAUUGUCAGAGGUGAAAUUCUUGGAUUUAUUGAAGACUAACUACUGCGAAAGCAUUUGCCAAGGAUGUUUUCAUUAAUCAAGAACGAAAGUUAGGGGAUCGAAGACGAUCAGAUAC
rnacentral:rRNA from 1 species